rnacentral:tRNA from 1 species
GGGCGAUUAGCUCAGUGGUAGAGCGCUGCCUUCACACGGCAGAGGUCACAGGUUCGAGUCCUGUUACGCCCA